UACGUAGGGGGCUAGCGUUGUCCGGAAUCAUUGGGCGUAAAGCGCGUGUAGGCGGUCCGGUAAGUCCGCUGUGAAAGUCGGGGGCUCAACCCUCGGAUGCCGGUGGAUACUGUCGGGCUUGAGUACGGAAGAGGCGAGUGGAAUUCCUGGUGUAGCGGUGAAAUGCGUAGAGAUCAGGAGGAACACCCGUGGCGAAGGCGGCGCCCUGGUCCGUUACUGACGCUGAGACGCGAAAGCGCGGGGAGCGAACGGG
rnacentral:rRNA from 1 species